rnacentral:rRNA from 1 species
CAAACGACUCUCGGCAACGGAUAUCUCGGCUCUCGCAUCGAUGAAGAACGUAGCGAAAUGCGAUACUUGGUGUGAAUUGCAGAAUCCCGUGAACCAUCGAGUCUUUGAACGCAAGUUGCGCCCGAAGCCGUCAGGCCGAGGGCACGCCUGCCUGGGCGUCACGC